UACGUAGGGAGCGAGCGUUGUCCGGAUUCAUUGGGCGUAAAGAGCUCGUAGGCGGCUUGAUAAGUCGGAUGUGAAACCUCCAGGCUCAACCUGGAGUCGCCAUCCGAUACUGUCAUGGCUAGAGUCCGGUAGGGGCCCACGGAAUUCCUGGUGUAGCGGUGAAAUGCGCAGAUAUCAGGAGGGACACCGGUGGCGAAGGCGGUGGGGUGGGCCGGCACUGACGCUGAGGAGCGAAAGCGUGGGGAGCGAACAGG
rnacentral:rRNA from 1 species